AAAAUCUUCCCCUUUCUUCAAAAAUCCUAAGACCCUUAUUCAUAAAUCCAAGUACUGGUUACCACAAUCGAUGGACAAUUGCUCGCCACUGCCAACUGUUGCUGCCUGGUGUUAGUUCGAGUCUAAAUUUUACCUUGAAGCUUCUUUUGAUCCCCUCUUUUCGUUUCCAACUCUAGUUUUGCCUGAAAACCAAACGAAACUCCUAAAUUUGAAAUCCAAGCCUGAAACUUCAAACUGUCGAAAGCUCCUAUCCCGCUGUGCGAUUUAGCUCAAAAUUUCCUUGUUAUCUUGCAAAACCCAAAACCUAAGUGAGAGAAAGUUUCUUUCUCAUGUUUCUUCAAAGUUAAUUGAAACCCAAGCCCUUUUUUUGCUAUGUUUGUGUUUGGAAUUUUUUUAUGAUUAUUAUUUAUGACUGAAGUUCCUCCCGACAAUGGCUUUUUUUUUUUGUGGCUGUAGGUUUUGGUUUUUGGUGGUGGUGUGGUGGUUCAUAAUUGUGGUGGCUUAGGAAAUGGAUUGUGGAGGCAAAUGGUGUUUUUGGUGCCAUGAAAACGAUGGUCGCAGUUGAGGGUUUGGAUUUUUCGGUUUGUGCAUUUCCUUAAAUUUUUUUUUAUGUAGCGAGUUAUCAAGGUGGUAGACAUGAUGUGCUAAGGGGUUUGUGUCACUGUAGACACUUAAUUUUAUUCAACUCAAUAUAUUCGAUUUUUAUGUUUUGGUUCUUGCCGCAUUCCAGUUGGAUUGACUUUAGUUAGGUUUUGUUUUGAAUUAAUAAUUUUUGGAUUAUUUUUACAUG
rnacentral:lncRNA from 1 species